UUCUGACCUCAAAUCAGGUAGGAUUACCCGCUGAACUUAAGCAUAUCAAUA
rnacentral:rRNA from 2 species